CCUACGGGUGGCAGCAGUAGGGAAUAUUGCUCAAUGGGGGAAACCCUGAAGCAGCAACGCCGCGUGCAUGAUGAAGGUUUUCGGAUUGUAAACUCCUUUUGUUAGAGAAGAUAAUGACGGUAUCUAACGAAUAAGCACCGGCUAACUCCGUGCCAGCAGCCGCGGUAAUACUGGGUGUGCAAGCGUUGUCCGGAAUCAUUGGUCGUAAAGAGUUCGUAGGCGGGAUAGCAAGGCAGAUGUGAAAUCCUAUGGCUUAACCAUAGAACUGCAGUUGAAACUGUUAUUCUAGAGUAUGGGAGAGGUAGGUGGAAUUCUUGGUGUAGGGGUGAAAUGCGUAGAGAUAAAGAGGAAUACUCAUUGCGAAGGCGACUUGCUAGAACAUAACUGACGCUGAUGCGCGAAAGCGUGGGGAGCAAACAGGAUUAGAUACCCUGGUAGUC
rnacentral:rRNA from 1 species